rnacentral:misc_RNA from 1 species
UAAAAAUGUAAAUUCAAUUUAAAUUUAAAAUAAAGUAAUUAUAACCAAUAUCUUAAUUGUUGCUAUCCCUUUAAUUUAGGUCUUCACUUUGCCAGCUAGAAAUAAUUCUGAUUUCUAGGUUGGAAGGCAUAACAAUUAAUUUGGCUGAGCUAAGUUUGAGUUCCCCAACCCCUUGCCUAAUGGCCAUAAAAAUCUAUUAAAUCAUCACUUUAAUAAUUAAUUUUAGCCAUGAUCAUUCAAGAUUUUAUAGAAUUUUAGCUAAAAAAUCUUUUUUUCUAAUCUUUUCUGUUUCCUUUCUUUAUUUAUUUAUUUUUUUGCUAUUGGUGAAUAUUUUCACCAUUAGUAAUCCUUCUUUUUUUUCAUUUUUUAAAUAAUUUUAAAAUUUUAAUUAAAUUUUAGAUAAAUUUUAGUAACAUAAUAUUAAUUAAAUUGAAAUUCAAAUUCUGCGGUGAUUUUUAUUGUCUUUCUAUCCCAUUUCACACUUUAUUCUCUGAGCAAAUAAAUUCGAAUUGUCAGGUAAUUAUCACACGCGAUCACUCAAUUUUAUGAAUUUUUUAUAAAAUUCACUAAAUUUUAAUUUCUUUCAUAA